rnacentral:rRNA from 1 species
GACGAACGCUGGCGGCGUGCUUAACACAUGCAAGUCGAACGGAAAGAUCCUGCGUUUGCGGGUUUCUCGAGUGGCGAACGGGUGAGUAACACGCGAGUAACCCGCCCUUGUCUUUGGGAUAACUUCAGGAAACUGGGGCUAAUACCGCAUAUGAUCUCCUGCUGCAUGGUGGGGGAUGGAAAGUUUCGGCGGUUGGGGAUGGACUCGCGGGUUACCAGCUUCUUGGUGGGGUAGGGGCUUACCAAGGCUAUGACGGAUAGCCGGCAUGAGAGGGUGGCCGGCCACCAUGGGACUGAGGUAGGGACCAGAAGGGUACCUGACGCAGCAGUCGGGAGUCUUGCGCAACGGGGCGAAGCCUGAUGCAGCGACCCUGCGUGCGUGAUGCCGGCCUUCGGGUUGUAAACCGCUUUCGCAUGUGACGUGGCGUGCGUGACGGUAAUGGGUAAAGAAGCACCGGCUAACUACGUG